UAGAAGACUCACCUCGAGUCCCACGCGCCACGCCCUCUCUUCUUCUUCCUCCCAGAGCCCGUAUGAAUCACAGUCUCCCAGUGUUGUACCUCCAACCAUCUUCCCCUUCCCAGAUUCUCCUCCCCCCACGAGCCCUUCCAUGGUCGCCCGCCUUGCGUGGUUAGGUCCUCUGAUGCGGUCGUCACCGAGGCGAUCCCGUCGCCCCCGCCGCGGUAGCUCGCCUCUCCUGGACGGUGGCCCUCGAACCGGCCAUAUGGUUUGCCGGGUGAGCGCGCGAGGAUCACCAGGGCUGGUGUCUGCUCCAGAUCAGGGAAACUACAUUGCUUCGGGGCCGCCCAGCUGCCAACGAUGACAGGGAGAAUUGAUUAUAACCCCCAUGUUCGUGCGUCUUGGAUCUUAAGCCCCUUUCUCGGCAUGCCUCUCUUUUAACCCCCUCAGUUCAGCCACGUUGUUGCUAAUUCCCCCCUUUGGCAUUGUUGGAGACCAUGGGCAAGUUGGAGACCAAGGGAUAUCGGAAAGAUCCCGCAGCAGGAGCAGGACAGAGGCGCACGGACAGAGGGAAUCGCGUGGCUGAGGCCCUCAGGCUUGGUUCUCCGUGAGCAGCUAUUCCUCCUUAUGGAGAUAUAGUGGGAGCGGCAACUACGGUCGCCUGGCCGCCACGUCCCCGUCGCGACUUCAGCCAGGAGAGAGAAUCGAAGAGGCGAGGGUCGAGAGCGUCCGCGGCGGCACCAAAUCGACCAUGGCUGGUAUGUCCAUCCUCGCACAUCAAGAUUUUGGCUCCACAUGAAUACAGGGUCUCCUUCAGAUGUGAGGAGUAGGUGUGUGGAAGCAAUGGCCGGUUGCUGCCCAUCAUGGCGGCACUGGUCAAAGCCAUGGCCGCAUGCUUCUUGCUAAUGGAGUACCUAGCCUAGGCUGCAGCUCAAGUUAAAGAUGCAGUUUGGUGCAAUAGAUUGUCAUAUCUGAAAGAGUUUCCCACUAUCUGUAUGUUCUGGAUCAGUGAAAAGGUUUUCUUCUCUGGUCCGUAUAAUCUCAUGGCUGUUGGGCAUUCUGGACAUCGUUGGGCCGUGCUGCUUUCUUUUUCUCAGGGUUCCUCGCAGCUCCGCUCACAGGUACUUACUGCUUAAGCUUCUCUAAGAUAAAAUCAUUGACACCCUAUUUAUCAACUGUAUAGCAUGCUUGGGGUUUCCAAUGGCUUCAGGUUUUUCGUGUGUUGAAAUCAUAAGAAUAAUAAGUAAACAAGUUGUAUCAGGCUAACAGAGCAGGUAUGCAUGUUUUUCUUUUGAAAUCUAUGACAAACAUGUGGCAUCUGGCCACAAAAUAUAGGUCGUAAUUAUCAUGGAAUACUCAGAUCAACCAACCAUUAUUUGGUACUGUCUUCUGCAUCCAUGUUCUAUUUUUUCUAAUUUUUGUAUCAACCAAAGAAUUGGGCUAAAUAUCUACAUCAUUGAUUGUUCUUUGUCUUUAUAUAAUUUUACUCCUCAGCUCCCACUAUAUUCUUUCUACUGAAGUUGUUUCCGAAUCUUUAUCGUGUAUAGGUUUGUCCUUGGCGUCUCUCAUCCACAUUAUUAAAUAACUGGUGAAAGUUCAUUAUUUUGUUGAAUACAAAAAAUAGAGGUUGUUUUUACUGAAUAGGCGCAGUAGGUCCUGAUUUAGUGUAAUCCUCUAUUUCAAGGUUCCAAUAUCAAAUAUUAUGUACAUUGUAUCUCUGGUUGAAAAAAGUUAAUUUUUUUGUGCUAGCUGAUAACAAACGGUUACCCUUAGCUAAGAGAUCUAA